rnacentral:SRP_RNA from 1 species
AGCCGGGCCCUGUGCAACAGAGGAUUGUGAACCCCGCCAGGUCCGGAAGGAAGCAACGGCAGCAAUUACCGAUGUGUGCUGCAGGCAAGCCUGGCUAUC